GACGAACGCUGGCGGCGUGCUUAACACAUGCAAGUCGAACGGUGACCUCGAGAGCUUGCUCUCGGGCGAUCAGUGGCGAACGGGUGAGUAACACGUGAGUAACCUGCCCCAGACUCUGGAAUAACCCCGGGAAACCGGAGCUAAUACCGGAUACGAGACGGAGUCGCAUGGCUACCGUCUGGAAAGUUUUUCGGUCUGGGAUGGACUCGCGGCCUAUCAGCUAGUUGGUGAGGUAACGGCUCACCAAGGCGACGACGGGUAGCCGGCCUGAGAGGGCGACCGGCCACACUGGGACUGAGACACGGCCCAGACUCCUACGGGAGGCAGCAGUGGGGAAUAUUGCACAAUGGGCGAAAGCCUGAUGCAGCGACGCCGCGUGAGGGAUGACGGCCUUCGGGUUGUAAACCUCUUUCAGCAGGGAAGAAGCGAAAGUGACGGUACCUGCAGAAGAAGCACCGGCUAACUACGUGCCAGCCGCCGCGGUAAAAC
rnacentral:rRNA from 1 species